UGGGGAAUAUUGCACAAUGGGCGAAAGCCUGAUGCAGCCACGCCGCGUGAGUGAUGACGGCCUUCGGGUUGUAAACCUCUUUUAGCAGGGACGAAGCGCAAGUGACGGUACCUGCAGAAGAAGCACCGUCUAACUACGUGCCAGCAGCCGCGGUAAUACGCAGGGUGCAAGCGUUGUCCGGAAUUACUGGGCGUAAAGAGUUCGUAGGCGGUUUGUCGCGUCGGUUGUGAAAGCCAGCAGCUCAACUGCUGGCUUGCAGGCGAUACGGGCAGACUUGAGUACUGCAGGGGAGACUGGAAUUCCUGGUGUAGCGGUGAAAUGCGCAGAUAUCAGGAGGAACACCGGUGGCGAAGGCGGGUCUCUGGGCCGUAACUGACGCUGAGGAACGAAAGCGUGGGUAGCGAACAGG
rnacentral:rRNA from 1 species